AAACUUACCUGGCUGGGGGCGUCUCGCGAUCAUUAAGGCGGGACCCCCAUAGUGAGGCCCGCGCAUUGCACUUUCGCCCGGGCUGACCCGUGUGGCAGUCUCGAACUGAGAUUCGCCAACAGCUAAAUUUUUGUGUGUGGGGCUGCGUACGCGCGGCCCUGA
rfam:Ancylostoma duodenale strain Zhejiang A_duodenale-1.0_Cont14877.1, whole genome shotgun sequence.